rnacentral:rRNA from 1 species
AGAGUUUGAUCCUGGCUCAGAUUGAACGCUGGCGGCACGCUUUACACAUGCAAGUCGAGCGGCAGCGCGAGGGUGCUUGCACCCUUGGCGGCGAGCGGCGGACGGGUGAGUAAUACAUGGGAACAUACCCAACAGUGGGGGAUAACUCUGGGAAACCAGAGCUAAUACCGCAUAAUCUCCAAGGAGCAAAGCGGGGGAUCUUCGGACCUCGUGCUGCUGGAGUGGCCCAUGUCCGAUUAGCUUGUUGGCGGGGUAACAGCCCACCAAGGCGACGAUCGGUAGCUGGUCUGAGAGGAUGAUCAGCCACACCGGAACUGAGACACGGUCCGGACUCCUACGGGAGGCAGCAGUGGGGAAUAUUGGACAAUGGGGGCAACCCUGAUCCAGCGAUGCCGCGUGAGUGAAGAAGGCCUUCGGGUUGUAAAGCUCUUUCGCAAGGGAAGAAACGGCAGGGGUGAAUAGCCCUUUGCAACUGACGGUACCUUGAGAAGAAGCACCGGCUAACUACGUGCCAGCAGCCGCGGUAAUACGUAGGGUGCGAGCGUUAAUCGGAAUUACUGGGCGUAAAGCGUGCGUAGGCGGUCCUUCAAGUCUGACGUGAAAGCCCAGGGCUCACCCCUGGAAGUGCGCCAGAAACUGAUGGACUUGAGUACCGGAGGGGAGAGUGGAAUUCCCGGUGUAGCGGUGAAAUGCGUAGAUAUCGGGAGGAAUACCGGUGGCGAAAGCGACUCUCUGGACGGUUACUGACGCUGAGGCACGAAAGCGUGGGGAGCAAACAGGAUUAGAUACCCUGGUAGUCCGCGCUGUAAACGAUGGACGCUAGGUGUGUGGGGGGCUCAACCCCCCUGCGUGCCGGAGCUAACGCGGUAAGCGUCCCGCCUGGGGACUACGGUCGCAAGACUAAAACUCAAAGGAAUUGACGGGUGCCCGCACAAGCAGCGGAGCGUGUGGUUCAAUUCGAGGCUACGCGAAGAACCUUACCGGGGUUUGACAUUACGCGGCUAUCCCGCGAAAUCGGGAGUUCCUUCGGGACCGCGUAACAGGUGCUGCAUGGCUGUCGUCAGCUCGUG